CUCAUCUUCCAGACUGCGCAGCAUCUAGAAUAUUUUUUUUAAAAUUUAGAAUUAAAAAAAAAGAAUUUUACUAAAACAUCUCUUAGACUAAUUAUGACAAUGUGAAAACUACAAUUUGACUAAAAUAUCAGUAUCAACUCUAAGACUUGUAAUUAUUAUGAUAAUGUGAGAACUACAAUUUGACUUACUUGAUCUCUACAUCCAAGUGAGUAA